CAGAGUCACCACCGAACUUUAUUUAUCCCAAUGAAGGAAUAGGAAAAUAUCGAUAAAACCUUUAGGAAAUGGAAUAAUGGUCGUCGCAACCAUAUUCGGGUUCGGGAGUGGAUUACGCAAGAGGAAGGUAUUAGCUUCCCUUGCGUCUGUUGUACUAAACGGGAGCCUUUUAGUUCUAAUUUGUGUUUCGAGUGUUAAUUUAUGUUUGUUUUUUAUCUUUGGGUUAUAAAAUGUUGAAAAUAGAAAAGGAUGAGAACCUUAGUGUAGCACCUCAAAU
rnacentral:lncRNA from 1 species